rnacentral:rRNA from 1 species
CGGGGUUGCGGACAGUGUCUGGUGGGUAGUUUGACUGGGGCGGUCUCCUCCCAAAGCGUAACGGAGGAGCACGAAGGUUAGCUAAUCCUGGUCGGACAUCAGGAGGUUAGUGCAAUGGCAUAAGCUAGCUUGACUGCGAGCGUGACGGCGCGAGCAGGUGCGAAAGCAGGUCAUAGUGAUCCGGUGGUUCUGAAUGGAAGGGCCAUCGCUCAACGGAUAAAAGGUACUCCGGGGAUAACAGGCUGAUACCGCCCAAGAGUUCAUAUCGACGGCGGUGUUUGGCACCUCGAUGUCGGCUCAUCACAUCCUGGGGCUGAAGUAGGUCCCAAGGGUAUGGCUGUUCGCCAUUUAAAGUGGUACGCGAGCUGGGUUUAGAACGUCGUGAGACAGUUCGGUCCCUAUCUGCCGUGGGCGCUGGAGAAUUGAGGGGGGCUGCUCCUAGUACGAGAGGACCGGAGUGGACGCAUCACUGGUGUUCGGGUUGUCAUGCCAAUGGCA